rnacentral:lncRNA from 1 species
UAUCCCGGCGCCACACACUCAUUACCACCAUGGAGGCUAAGAUCAUGGGUUUUGAGCAACUCAAAAUAUCUUAUGAAACUGACCCUGAUUUUUCUGAGCUUUACAGUAACACGGCUAAGGGAGCCAUGGGUCCAUUCUAUCAGCAGGACGGAUUCCUCUUCAAGGAGAAACGCCUGUGUAUCCCUCAUGGUUCCAUGCGACAUUUACUGACCAGAGAAGCUCAUGGGGGUGGAUUGAUGGGGCAUUUCGGUCGGGACAAAACUCUGAGUGUCCUGUCCGACCACUUCUAUUGGCCCCGGAUGAGGCGCUACGUCGAGAGCCUUUGCUCCAAGUGCACUGUCUGUCUCAAAACCAAAUCCAGGUCGCAUCCUUAUGGUUUACACAUGCCUUUACCUAUUCCUAUUGCACCGUGGGUCGAUCUGUCUAUGGACUUUGUGCUGGGCUUGCCCAAGACAGAACAUAAGGAUUCUAUUUUUGUUGUAGUGGACAGGUUCUCCAAGAUGGCACACUUCAUUCCGUGUUCCAAAACCAAUGACGCAAGCCAAACCGCUGAUCUCUUCUUCAAGGAAGUGGUGCGUUUACAUGGAGUGCCUCGUACCAUCGUGUCCGACCGAGACACAAAAUUUCUCAGCCACUUCUGGAGGACAUUGUGGAAAAAGCUUGGAACCAAGCUCCUUUUCUCGACCACUUGCCAUCCACAGACUGAUGGACAGACCGAGGUAGUAAACCGUACACUCUCUCAGUUAUUGAGGGCUACGGUGGGUAAGAAUCUUAAAAACUGGCUGAGUUGUUUGCCUUUCAUUGAGUUUGCUUAUAACCAUGCAAGGCACUCUAUUACUAACCUCUCCCCUUUUGAGAUCGUGUACGGCUUUAGACCAGAGACGCCCAUGGACCUAGCCGCAUUGCCCCCAGCCAUGCAAGUCAGCCAGAGUGGUGACAAAAAGGCUGAGUUUGUAAAGAACAUGCACCGGCAAGUCAAGGAGACUUUGGAGAAGAAGGCUGAAAGGAACCGGAUUAAGCUCAACAAGGGGCGCACAGAAGUUAUCUUCCAGCCAGGCGACUGGGUGUGGCUCCACAUGAGGCCAGAACGGUUUCCGGAAGAGAGGAAGAGCAAAUUAUCCCCACGGGGAGAUGGACCAUUCCGAGUGCUCGAUCGGAUCAAUGACAAUGCCUACCGGCUAGAACUGCCAGGUGAGUUCCAAGUUUCCCGAACGUUCAAUGUAUCUGAUUUGUCUCCUUAUAUUGCAGAUGAUGGAGAUGUUCUGAGGACAGAACCUGUUCAAGAUCCGUCAGCACACGCAGGACGUCCGUGGCUGUCCGUGUGUGUCCGUGUGUCCGUCAGCACACGCAAGACGUCCGUCAGUACACACAGGACGUCCGUCAGUACUGUUGUAGUACCCACGACUGAGGUUCCCAUUAUCCGCAAAGGCCCUACCACAAGGUCCGGUUUUUUUGUCUUAACUUUUUGCAUUUACUCUUAGCCUUGGUCGAUACUCAUAGUAUCCGACCCAAGCAACUAUUUAACCCCCUCUUGCCUUUAAUCUUUCUUUGAGUUUCCUUUCAGAGAACUAUGGGAGAUGUAGGUCAAGACCAAGCGGCCAUAAACGCUCAGCUCUUAGCUGACAAUGAAGAACUGAGGGCGAGCCUUAGGACUAUCACAGCCGAGCUUGCUCAGCUCCGGCAGGGAGGCAGGCCCAACGGACCUCGACCACCAGGAAGGCAUCAGCCGGACCCGCAUGACACUGACUCGGACGCGGACAGUACCGAUGAUACGCGCAGUCAGGACGAGGAGAGGCCAAACCGGGGAGGUAGGAGGAACGCGCGAGGACCCCAGGCCCAAGUAGGAGGAGGCCGCGACCAUAGGGGAGGUCGAGACCGAGAAGAGGAAGAGCCUUGGUUGGGAGGCAAGGCACUUAAGCUUCAUCCCCCAACGUUUGCCGGCAAGGUUGAUCCGGAUGCCUACAUCGUGUGGGAGAAGCGCAUGGAGUACAUCUUCGACUAUUACCAAUAUAGUGAGGCCAAGAAGGUUGCCCUAGCAGCAGCCCAGCUGACGGACAAUGCUCUUUCGUGGUGGGAUUGAGACGUUGCCAAGUCCGGGCCAGUGUGGAGAGCGCGUAAUUGGACCGAGAUGCGGACCAAGCUUCGCGCGAGGUACAUUCCAUCUUACUACCAGCGUGAUGUGCUAAAACGUUUUCGUAAACUUACGCAGGGAACUAAGACUGUGGAGGAGUACUUUGAGGAGUUCGAGGCUCUUAGGAAUAAGCUUGAGACCGACGAGCCCGAGGAGACAAUGAUGUCCCAAUUCCUGGAAGGGCUGCAAGACCGCAUUGCCCGCAAGGUGGAGAGACAACACUAUGAAGACUUCAACGAUCUAUUGCACUUUGCUACGCAAGCCGAGCAGCACAUCAAGCGCAAGACGGCCAGUACCAGCCGCAGCAAACCUGCUUGGACUCAACCGGGUUCAAAGCAAGGCGACAAGGGCAAGACGAUUGAGAUUGAGAGCCGAUUCAAGACAAACCCGGCUGAAUCGUCCAAUGCAUCUAAGCCGGAGCAGGGUAAGACUCAAGCCCAAAAUUUGCGUACUCGUGACAUCAUUUGUUAUAAGUGUCAGGGCAAGGGCCACUAUGCUCGGGAUUGUCCAAACAAACGAGUGAUGGUCCUAAAGGGGGAUGGCGAGUAUGAAUCCCAAGAUGAGGCAGAGGCCGCGGCAGCGAUCUCUGAUGAGGAAGUAACCGACUACCCGGAGACAGGCGAGCUGCUAGUGACCCGGAGAGCCCUUAGCACCCUCUUUGACCCAGAGACCAUCCAGCGGGAGAACAUCUUCCACACCAGAUGUAGUGUUGAUCACAAGGUAUGUAGUUUGAUCAUAGAUGGCGGAUCUUGUACUAACGUGGCUAGCAAGUAUCUUGUUGAUAAGCUAGGGUUGAUCAAAACUGCCCAUCCUCGACCAUACCGUCUCAAAUGGCUCAAUGAUGAGACUGAGCUCAAGAUUGCCGAACAAGUUGUUGUGUCCUUCAGUAUUGGCAAGUACCACGACCAGGUCAAGUGUGAUGUUGUGCCCAUGCAAGCCGGCCAUAUACUUCUCGGAAGGCCAUGGCAGUUUGACAAGGAGACACUUCACCAUGGCCGCACCAACAUCUACAGUUUCGUCCACAACAACAAGAAGCACAGCCUAGCACCUCUCAGCCCCCAAGAAGUUCAUGAUAUGCAGAAGGCAAUGACGCAAUCCGGCCAGGUAAGUAACACUAACCUUUACAUGACUUCUGGACAAGUGCUUAAAUCAUUACAACGUGAGACACAGGUGCUACUAAUGAUCUUUAAGGAAGGUUGUUUUGCAGGUUUAGAAGCUCCUGAAGUACCGGACGUAGUACAAGACCUCAUGGGACGUUACAAGGAUGUCUUCCCUGACGAGAUCCCUGCCGGUUUGCCCCCUAUCCGUGGCAUAGAACAUCAGAUCGAUCUUGUACCCGGCGCGCCACUACCAAACCGAGCCGCUUACCGUGUCAACCCUGAGGAAGCUAAGGAGCUGGAACGGCAGGUCCAAGAUCUCAUGGACAAAGGCUACAUCCGCGAGAGCCUUAGCCCCUGUGCAGUCCCGGUCCUACUAGUGCCUAAGAAAGAUGGGUCAUGGCGCAUGUGUGUGGACUGCCGAGCCAUCAACAACAUAACCAUCAAAUAUCGGUACCCUAUACCUAGAUUAGAUGAUAUGUUGGAUGAACUGAGUGGUUCUGUUGUGUUUUCUAAGAUUGAUCUCAGGAGUGGAUACCAUCAAGUCCGCAUGAAGGAAGGAGAUGAGUGGAAAACCGCCUUCAAGACCAAGCAAGGUCUAUACGAGUGGCUGGUGAUGCCGUUUGGCCUUACCAACGCCCCUAGCACCUUCAUGAGACUCAUGAAUGAGGUCCUCCGACCUUACAUUGGUAAAUUCGUGGUUGUAUACUUUGAUGAUAUCUUGAUAUACAGCAGGUCUUUAACUGAACACAUGGGACACCUAGAACAGGUUUUGAAAGCCUUAAGGGAAGAAGGCCUUUAUGCUAACCUUAAGAAAUGUGUAUUCUGCACUGAUCAAUUGGUAUUUUUAGGCUUUGUUGUGAGUUCACAGGGACUGAAGGUUGAUGAAGAGAAGAUCAAGGCGAUACAAGACUGGCCGACUCCAACCACGAUCGGACAUAUCCGCAGCUUCCAUGGACUGGCCAGUUUCUAUCGACGAUUUGUGAAGGACUUCAGUACCAUUGCCGCCCCAAUGACCUCCGUGAUCAAGAAGAAUGUAACCUUUGCUUGGGGCCCUGCCCAAGAGGAGUCUUUCAACAGGCUUAAAUAUAGCUUGACACAUGCACCGGUUCUAACUCUUCCUAACUUUGAUAAACCUUUUGAGAUUGAGUGUGAUGCUUCAGGGACAGGAAUAGGAGCCGUGCUGACCCAAGGAGGACGGCCAGUGGCCUUUUUCAGUGAGAAAUUGAGUGGAGCCACCCUCAAUUACCCCACCUAUGAUAAAGAGCUAUAUGCUCUAGUAAGGUCGCUUGAAACUUGGCAACAUUAUCUUUUGUCUAAAGAGUUUAUUAUUCAUACAGAUCAUGAGACUCUUAAGCAUUUGAGGGGCCAGACCACACUUAAAAAGAGGCAUGCUAGGUGGCUGGAGUUCGUGGAAACUUUUCCUUAUGUGAUUAAGUACAAGAAGGGAAAGGACAACAUAGUGGCCGACGCCCUAUCCCGGCGCCACACACUCAUUACCACCAUGGAGGCUAAGAUCAUGGGUUUUGAGCAACUCAAAAUAUCUUAUGAAACUGACCCUGAUUUUUCUGAGCUUUACAGUAACACGGCUAAGGGAGCCAUGGGUCCAUUCUAUCAGCAGGACGGAUUCCUCUUCAAGGAGAAACGCCUGUGUAUCCCUCAUGGUUCCAUGCGACAUUUACUGACCAGAGAAGCUCAUGGGGGUGGAUUGAUGGGGCAUUUCGGUCGGGACAAAACUCUGAGUGUCCUGUCCGACCACUUCUAUUGGCCCCGGAUGAGGCGCUACGUCGAGAGCCUUUGCUCCAAGUGCACUGUCUGUCUCAAAACCAAAUCCAGGUCGCAUCCUUAUGGUUUACACAUGCCUUUACCUAUUCCUAUUGCACCGUGGGUCGAUCUGUCUAUGGACUUUGUGCUGGGCUUGCCCAAGACAGAACAUAAGGAUUCUAUUUUUGUUGUAGUGGACAGGUUCUCCAAGAUGGCACACUUCAUUCCGUGUUCCAAAACCAAUGACGCAAGCCAAACCGCUGAUCUCUUCUUCAAGGAAGUGGUGCGUUUACAUGGAGUGCCUCGUACCAUCGUGUCCGACCGAGACACAAAAUUUCUCAGCCACUUCUGGAGGACAUUGUGGAAAAAGCUUGGAACCAAGCUCCUUUUCUCGACCACUUGCCAUCCACAGACUGAUGGACAGACCGAG